AAAUAUGGACCAAAGUCAAAUGGACUCAUAUUAAUUAUUAUCGCCCCGGGGGGACCCCCCUGCCCCCCUCUAUGCCCCCCCCACACACACAGACACACACAGCCUACAGAGCUGCGGCACGUUUAGGCUACUUCAAGGACCCUCUGUGUCUCCUGCAAACAAUCUUUUUUUCUGUUGGUAGAGGAGGAAAAACAAACCUGCGGGAAUAACAUGGCUGCUCGGGCUGCCGGUCACUAGCGGCAGCCACCGGGUAUCAUUGCCGGUUUGUGUUGUCAAUUAGCGGGUUACUUGUUGUUCCUUUGUUGCAGUAAUUACUCCUGAAGUCAAUUGAGAAGUUCAACUCAGAGCAGACACGUGUCAGCUGCUGCGAAAACACUAAAGAAAAGGCCAAUCUGCUGCCAACGGACAGCCUCUCCCAACAUAUUGGGUCUUGGCACCGCGCCACAUGACUUGUGUGCAGCCACUGACAUGACUGACCGCUGUUCAAAUCCACUGGGACCGAAACCACCCUUCAGUUUCAUCGUCCACGUGUCUUUGCUUCUUUAGCAAAACACCAAGCUCCCCCUCUGUUAUGUUAAAAACCUUAUUUUACUUUUGUUGUUUGCAGUCAUAAAAAAGAAGGGGUUUCCCCAAUUUUGCUGUACUUAUCCCGACCAGCAGAGUGCGCCACUUUGGCAGUGCAGCCUGAGGGGAGAUUAACCUGCAGGUCUCUGAGUAAAAGGGAGGACACACACACACACACACAAAUUCAAAAACUCUCUCGCUGUGAAAGAAGUAUACACAUGCAAGGGUGCCGACGCAGGUUCAAUGACUUUGAUCGUGUAAUUCCUGCGUAAUCUCUGUAAUCUUUUAAAGCAGAGCUGUUUAAAUGUAUGUUGCAUGUGCGCAAUUGUGAGUGUGUGUGUGUGUGUGUGUGAGUGAAGAUGUGUGAAAUGUUCACUGGAUUAACAAGAUGAAGCAGAGGCCGGGAAUACAGCUAAAGAGAAAUCUUUAAGAAUCAAACGUUCUUUCAGAUUUCUGCUCAGACCAGCAGGCUGGAGUUGGAGGCUGCGCGUGUUGUGUUUAUGACACAAAGAAAUUCUCAUAUUCAGCUUGUUUAAAGAGUUCAUUCGGUGUCUUAUCCGUGGAGUGGGUGUGAGUUUUAUUUGGCAGCUGAACAGAUAUUUUCUACACUCUGCAGUCUUCACAUCAGGCAGCACACUUUGACCGACCUGUCAUUGUAAUUAUAAGGUUCUAUUGGAUGUAAGUCAGUGAUGAUACUUCUCUUUGUUGCAUGACAACAAUUGAAAAUCACAUGGAUGCGAGCAAAAUAAAUCACGAUCAUGAGAA